GACGAACGCUGGCGGCGUGCUUAACACAUGCAAGUCGAACGAAGUGGCGAACGGGUGAGUAACGCGUAAUCAACCUGCCCUUCAGAGGGGAACAACAGUUGGAAACGCCUGCUAAUACCGCAUAAUGAAGGAGGGGAUUGCGUCUUCUUAGCUAGUUGGAGGGGUAACGGCCCACCAAGGCGAUGAUCAGUAGCCGGGCUGAGAGGAGGAACGGCAACAUUGGGACUGAGACACGUCCCAGACUCCUACGGGAGGCAGCAGGGGGGAAUCUUCCGCAAGGGACGAAAGUCUGACGGAGCAACGCCGCGUGAGUGAUGACGGCCUUCGGGUUGUAAAGCUCUGUUAAUCGGGACGCGGUACCGGAAUAGAAAGCCACGGCUAACUACGUGCCAGCAGCCGCGGUAAUAC
rnacentral:rRNA from 1 species